CCUACGGGUGGCAGCAGCGGGGAAUAUUGGACAAUGGGGGCAACCCUGAUCCAGCCAUGCCGCGUGUGUGAAGAAGGCCCUCGGGUUGUAAAGCACUUUCAGUGAGGAAGAACGCCUGGUGGUUAAUACCCAUCAGGAAAGACAUCACUCACAGAAGAAGCACCGGCUAACUCCGUGCCAGCAGCCGCGGUAAUACGGAGGGUGCGAGCGUUAAUCGGAAUUACUGGGCGUAAAGCGCGCGUAGGUGGCUUGAUAAGCCGGUUGUGAAAGCCCCGGGCUCAACCUGGGAACGGCAUCCGGAACUGUCAAGCUAGAGUGCAGGAGAGGAAGGUAGAAUUCCCGGUGUAGCGGUGAAAUGCGUAGAGAUCGGGAGGAAUACCAGUGGCGAAGGCGGCCUUCUGGACUGACACUGACACUGAGGUGCGAAAGCGUGGGUAGCAAACAGGAUUAGAUACCCUUGUAGUC
rnacentral:rRNA from 1 species